AACGAUAAAGCGGGUGAAAAGCCCGCUCGCCGGAAGACCAAGGGUUCCUGUCCAACGUUAAUCGGGGCAGGGUGAGUCGACCCCUAAGGCGAGGCCGAAAGGCGUAGUCGAUGGGAAACAGGUUAAUAUUCCUGUACUUGGUGUUACUGCGAAGGGGGGACGGAGAAGGCUAUGUUGGCCGGGCGACGGUUGUCCCGGUUUAAGCGUGUAGGCUGGUUUUCCAGGCAAAUCCGGAAAAUCAAGGCUGAGGCGUGAUGACGAGGCACUACGGUGCUGAAGCAACAAAUGCCCUGCUUCCAGGAAAAGCCUCUAAGCAUCAGGUAACAUCAAAUCGUACCCCAAACCGACACAGGUGGUCAGGUAGAGAAUACCAAGGCGCUUGAGAGAACUCGGGUGAAGGAACUAGGCAAAAUGGUGCCGUAACUUCGGGAGAAGGCACGCUGAUAUGUAGGUGAAGUCCCUUGCGGAUGGAGCUGAAAUCAGUCGAAGAUACCAGCUGGCUGCAACUGUUUAUUAAAAACACAGCACUGUGCAAACACGAAAGUGGACGUAUACGGUGUGACGCCUGCCCGGUGCCGGAAGGUUAAUUGAUGGGGUCAGCGCAAGCGAAGCUCUUGAUCGAAGCCCCGGUAAACGGCGGCCGUAACUAUAACGGUCCUAAGGUAGCGAAAUUCCUUGUCGGGUAAGUUCCGACCUGCACGAAUGGCGUAAUGAUGGCCAGGCUGUCUCCACCCGAGACUCAGUGAAAUUGAACUCGCUGUGAAGAUGCAGUGUACCCGCGGCAAGACGGAAAGACCCCGUGAACCUUUACUAUAGCUUGACACUGAACAUUGAGCCUUGAUGUGUAGGAUAGGUGGGAGGCUUUGAAGUGUGGACGCCAGUCUGCAUGGAGCCGGCCUUGAAAUACCACCCUUUAAUGUUUGAUGUUCUAACGUGGACCCGUGAUCCGGGUUGCGGACAGUGUCUGGUGGGUAGUUUGACUGGGGCGGUCUCCUCCUAAAGAGUAACGGAGGAGCACGAAGGUUGGCUAAUCCUGGUCGGACAUCAGGAGGUUAGUGCAAUGGCAUAAGCCAGCUUGACUGCGAGCGUGACGGCGCGAGCAGGUGCGAAAGCAGGUCAUAGUGAUCCGGUGGUUCUGAAUGGAAGGGCCAUCGCUCAACGGAUAAAAGGUACUCCGGGGAUAACAGGCUGAUACCGCCCAAGAGUUCAUAUCGACGGCGGUGUUUGGCACCUCGAUGUCGGCUCAUCACAUCCUGGGGCUGAAGUAGGUCCCAAGGGUAUGGCUGUUCGCCAUUUAAAGUGGUACGCGAGCUGGGUUUAGAACGUCGUGAGACAGUUCGGUCCCUAUCUGCCGUGGGCGCUGGAGAACUGAGGGGGGCUGCUCCUAGUACGAGAGGACCGGAGUGGACGCAUCACUGGUGUUCGGGUUGUCAUGCCAAUGGCACUGCCCGGUAGCUAAAUGCGGAAGAGAUAAGUGCUGAAAGCAUCUAAGCACGAAACUUGCCCCGAGAUGAGUUCUCCCUGACCCUUUAAGGGUCCUGAAGGAACGUUGAAGACGACGACGUUGAUAGGCCGGGUGUGUAAGCGCAGCGAUGCGUUGAGCUAACCGGUACUAAUGAACCGUGAGGCUUAACCUU
rnacentral:rRNA from 1 species